rnacentral:rRNA from 1 species
AGAGUUUGAUCAUGGCUCAGAUUGAACGCUGGCGGCAUGCCUAACACAUGCAAGUCGAACGGUAGCAGGCCUUCGGGUGCUGACGAGUGGCGGACGGGUGAGUAAUGCGUAGGAAUCUGUCUUUUAGUAGGGGACAACCCAGGGAAACUUGGGCUAAUACCGCAUGAGCCCUGAGGGGGAAAGCGGGGGAUCUUCGGACCUCGCGCUAAGGGAAGAGCCUACGUCUGAUUAGCUAGUUGGUAGGGUAAAGGCCUACCAAGGCGACGAUCAGUAGCUGGUCUGAGAGGACGACCAGCCACACUGGGACUGAGACACGGCCCAGACUCCUACGGGAGGCAGCAGUGGGGAAUUUUUCGCAAUGGGGGCAACCCUGACGAAGCAAUGCCGCGUGGAUGAAGAAGGCCUUCGGGUUGCAAAGUCCUUUCGUGGGGGACGAAGAGGUGGUUCCUAAUACGAGCUGCUGUUGACGUGAACCCAAGAAGAAGCACCGGCUAACUCCGUGCCAGCAGCCGCGGUAAUACGGGGGGGUGCAAGCGUUAAUCGGAAUCACUGGGCGUAAAGGGUGCGUAGGCGGUACGUUAGGUCUGUCGUGAAAUCCCCGGGCUCAACCUGGGAAUGGGCGGUAGAAACCGGCGCACUAGAGUAUGGGAGAGGGUGGUGGAAUUCCAGGUGUAGCGGUGAAAUGCGUAGAGAUCUGGAGGAACAUCAGUGGCGAAGGCGGCCACCUGGCCCAAUACUGACGCUGAGGCACGAAAGCGUGGGGAGCAAACAGGAUUAGAUACCCUGGUAGUCCACGCCCUAAACGAUGAAUACUAGAUGUUUGGUACCUAGCGUACUGAGUGUCGUAGCUAACGCGAUAAGUAUUCCGCCUGGGAA